rnacentral:rRNA from 1 species
UCCUCUGCGCCCUGCCGGGUUCUUAAUUCAACAUCGAGGUCACAAACUCUCUCUUCAAUAAGAACUUUUAAAAGAAUAAUGCUGUUACCCCUAAAGUAAUUUCAUCUUUCCCUCCUUAAGGGCCCUGCCGCUCGCUAAUAACCGUUCUCAAAACUCUAGACUCCUGUGUACACAGACCUGCCGUCCCAGCCAAACUCUGUAAAUAAAUGCCCCGCCUUGCCAUCAAAAUCCUAAAAAGUCAAAUUUUACAGGGUCUUAUCGUCCCAGAGCCCUAUUUAAGAAUUUUAACUUAAAACUAAUUUUUCAUUUCUGCAAGAACAGGCGCCUUUCAUUCAACCCUUCAUACAAGCCUCCAAUUAAAAGACAAAUCAUUACGCUACCUUAGUAUAGUCAAGGUACUAUAGCCCUUCAACACCGCAGCGGGCAGGCCAGACCUGGCAUAAAUACCCCACAAAGACAUGUUU